GAAUUUGUGAAGACAUGCUACGGAAAUU
rnacentral:sRNA from 1 species